AUGGCUGUCGUCAGCUCGUGUCGUGAGAUGUUGGGUUAAGUCCCGCAACGAGCGCAACCCUUGUCCUGUGUUACCAUGCCGAAAGGCGGAACUCGCAGGAGACCGCCAGCGAUAAGCUGGAGGAAGGUGGGGAUGACGUCAAGUCCUCAUGGCCUUUAUGUCCAGGGCUACACACGUGCUACAAUGGGCGGUACAAAGCGCUGCUAAGCCGCAAGGUGGAGCCAAUCGCAAAAAGCCGCUCUCAGUUCGGAUUGCAGGCUGCAACUCGCCUGCAUGAAGCUGGAAUCGCUAGUAAUGCUAUAUCAGAACGAUAGCGUGAAUACGUUCCCGGGCCUUGUACACACCGCCCGUCACAUCACGAAAGUGGAUUGUACUAGAAGUCUGCACGCUAACCCGCAAGGGAGGCAGCGGCCCAAGGUAUGAUUCAUGAUUGGGGUGAAGUCGUAACAAGGUAGCCGUACCGGAAGGUGCGGCUGGAUCACCUCCUUUCUAAGGAACAACACUGCCUUGGUCCGAGACGUAUGUUCUCGGGUUGCCAAGCGUGUUCCUACGUCGAACACUGGUUACUCGGCACUUCAGUGCCUCUCGACCUCGGCGCACCAGCCAGUUGCUCUUCCGAACUCAGUUCGGUCGGGUAAUCGGGCCGUCGCCGACACCACCGAGAUCCUGAUGGACCGGGUGUUCACUGCUCUGUUUUGAGGAAGCGGACGAUGUCCGCCGCCUCUGUAAGGGCAGAACGGGCGUCAAUCGCUUGUGGUCGAGCCCCGCACCUCUGGUGCGGUGUUCCCGCGACCGUGACGUACCGCAGCCUCGAAUCCAGCACAAUGGUUUCGGCGCGACCCUUGAGAACUGCAUAGCGAGCACGAGCGUCUUGAAAGAAGUGGCUCCUUGCUCUUUUUCAUCCCGAGGAAGAGUCGAGGAGUGUGCGAUUUCAAGUUACAAAGAGCCAACGGUGGAUGCCUUGGCGCCAGAUGCCGAUGAAGGACGUGGGUGGCUGCGAAAAGCCACGGGGAGCUGUCUACCAAGCUUUGAUCCGUGGAUAUCCGAAUGGGGAAACCCGG
rnacentral:sRNA from 1 species